rnacentral:lncRNA from 1 species
ACGACGAAGCAAAUCGGUGGUGGCUCUCCUCGACGACGACGGAAAUCGACGGUUGGUGCUCAUUAGAAUAGAAAGGUAAAGCUCUGAAAUUUUAUGGGUUUUUUUGAAUCCUCAAUUGGCUCAGUCCAAUCGAAAGGUUUAUAAAUGUUUUAGAUUAUGUUCUUCUUGUUAUUCUCAAGCGGUUUGUAAGUUAAUUGUGUGUUCUUUAAUUGCAGAUGAAAGUCCAUUGAAGGGAGAUUCAUAAUCUCUUCAAAGAUAAUCGUUCUUCUCUGCAAACUGAAGGUUCAAUCAUCAUCAUCUGUAUUACUUUCAGUUCUUAUUGGUUUAGUAGCUUCUCGUUAGGUGGCUUGGUUGAAUGAUCUAGAUUCAUGAGAAUGAAGAACGGUUUUGUUCAAUUUAAUAUAUAAAUCCUGUGAUUCCUUUUGAUAUGUUUAUGUUCUGUUAUAGAUUCUUGAGAUUGAAGAACGGUUUGAUCAUCCG